UCUGGGGGUGAGGGGAAGUAAGCUGCGAGAAUUGUAUUACAAAGGGAACGAGACCGGACGGCAACAACUGACUUGGACCUCGGCCUUCCGUACAAGAGGCGGUUCAGGGAAGGCCCUCUGCUGAGGUGACAUUUGAAGAAAGAUUUGAAGUGAGAGAGUGAAUCAUAUACACCGGGGGGAGAACCUUCUAGGCAGAGGAAGUAACAAGAAACUGGCAUACCAUCGGCUGUGAUGCUGACCCCAGGAGGGAAUACCCUUCCACAAGUUUCCAGAAUUGGUUCCUCUUGGUACAGAGGACAAUUCUCAAGAUGCAGCUGCCCCUGACCAACCAGCCCACUGACUUUGCGUUCACAUAUACCCUUGCCUCAGGCCACUUCUCACUCUCCAACAUGGAUGAUCAC